rnacentral:rRNA from 1 species
AUUGAACGCUGGCGGCAUGCUUUACACAUGCAAGUCGAACGGCAGCACGGGCUCUUGCCUCUCGUCGCGUGUCGCACGGGUGUGUGUUAUACCUCGACACGUCUCCUGUUGUGGGGGAUCUCCCCGCGAACGCCGUUUUUAUCCCACACACGCUCUCCGGGUGAGCGGGGGGUCUUCUCGCCUCUCGCUCUUUCGGCUUCCGAUGGCAGAUUAGCUAGUUGGUGGGGUAAAGGCCUACCAAGGCGACGAUCUGUAGCUGGUCUGAGAGGACGACCAGCCACACUGGGACUGAGACACGGCCCAGACUCCUACGGGAGGCAGCAGUGGGGAAUUUUGGACAAUGGGCGAAAGCCUGAUCCAGCAAUGCCGCGUGUGUGAAGAAGGCCUUCGGGUUGUAAAGCACUUUUGGCGGGAAAGAAAACGAUUGUGCUAAUACGGUGGGGGGAUGACGGUACCGGAAGAAUAAGCACCGGCUAACUACGUG